rnacentral:rRNA from 1 species
AGAGUUUGAUCAUGGCUCAGAAUCAACGCUGGCGGCGUGCCUAACACAUGCAAGUCGAACGCGAAAGUCCCGCAAGGGAUUAGUAGAGUGGCAAACGGGUGAGUAGCACGUGGGUGACCUGCCUUCGAGCGGGGGAUAACGUCCCGAAAGGGACGCUAAUACCGCAUAACAUCCUGCCUUUUAAGAGGUGGUGAUCAAAGCCGGGGACCGCAAGGCCUGGCACUUGAAGAGGGGCCCGCGCCUGAUUAGCUAGUUGGUGGGGUAAUGGCUCACCAAGGCAACGAUCAGUAUCCGGCCUGAGAGGGCGGACGGACACACUGGGACUGAGACACGGCCCAGACUCCUACGGGAGGCAGCAGUGGGGAAUUGUUCGCAAUGGGCGCAAGCCUGACGACGCAGCGCCGCGUGGAGGAUGAAGACCUUCGGGUCGUAAACUCCUUUCGAUCGAGACGAAUGGUCUCUGGGUGAACAAUCUGGAGAAGUGACGGUACCGAGAGAAGAAGCCCCGGCUAACUCCGUGCCAGCAGCCGCGGUAAUACGGGGGGGCAAGCGUUGUUCGGAAUUACUGGGCGUAAAGGGCUCGUAGGUGGCCAACUAAGUCAGACGUGAAAUCCCUCAGCUUAACUGGGGAACUGCGUCUGAUACUGGAUGGCUUGAGUUUGGGAGAGGGAUGCGGAAUUCCAGGUGUAGCGGUGAAAUGCGUAGAUAUCUGGAGGAACACCGGUGGCGAAGGCGGCAUCCUGGACCAAUACUGACACUGAGGAGCGAAAGCCAGGGGAGCAAACGGGAUUAGAUACCCUAGUAGUCC